rnacentral:snRNA from 1 species
GGAUGUGAAGGCAAUGUUGGAGCAACAUCUGUCACCUCACCUCAUCAAUGGCCGGGGUUGAUUUGGCUGACCUGACUGGCUAGGUGGGUGUCGCUUCCUCCUUCACUGCUCCUUGCACAUUCCUGCUGAAGCUAUCUGCUCCUGAAAGAGGAGUUCUGUUCUUUGAUCAAGGAUAUACAAGUGCUUCUCUGUUGGAAUCCCCAAACAGACUCUCAAUGAAUGAACUAGAAGCUUAAAACUAGAUACUGAAGAAUCCACCUGGUUCCUUAGGCUUCGCAGGCAAGUGCCUUAA